UAAGCACCACACCCUUUAGCUUUUGGUAACUCCUCCUUCAGCCGGCUUCUAACAAAAGCCAUGGCUUUUUCCACCGAAAAGCAGAAGCCUGGAGGACCCCUCCUUUUGGAAGCCAGAAGUCACUUGCUGCAACUGUAGCGCUCUUCACUGUAGAUUAAUGACUCUUGAUAAUACCAGCGGUUGCCCUCUCUUUCUUGAACAAUUUACGCACAGCCAUGGAACCCUUCCACGCACAGACGAUUGGAGACACUUCAAUUUUCGUCACGCACAGACGGAACAAUUCUUCUAUUUGUCUUCUCCCUUAAAUUCAGAGGUAACCAGAGCGGAGACGCUUCAAUUUUCUCCUCGCACAAACGUUCCAAUUCUUCUCAUUGUCUUCUCGCUUCAAUUCGGAGGUAACCAUCUAUCUCUGUCUUCAAAUUCAAAAUUUGGCGUAAAUCAUAGCAUAGAUUAAACUGCUGAAUCGGAAAAAAAUAGGGAUUUCGUGAUUAUAUAAGGAUCGAUAUCAAAGCAAUUGAUAAAUUGGAAUGUUUCUGAUGUCCUGUUUGAUUCCCAAUUCAAUUUCAAUUUUUAUCUGUUUACCAUAAUUGUUAAGUGUGGCACCUCUUAUCAACUUAACCAGCUAGACGGAUUUGAUCAGCUUGGCAAGGUACGUAUUUUUGAUUUAGUUCAAACCAAGCUAGUUUGUGUGUCAUGCUGUCAUAUGUUGGCAUGUUUUGACGAUGAAAUUUUGGUGGGUGUUUUGAUUAUAAUAAUAUUGGGGGAUAUCUCAAACUGAUGGAGAUAUCUCUUGAGGGUAAGCAUGUUGAAAUGGCAAAUCAGAGAAAUAAGGGAACUAUUGGUUUGGUGGGUAUCUACAUGAUUACCACGUUUUUCAUCUUGUACUACCUAUUGUGGGCUAUGCAUAUAGCUAGCCAUGUUGCAAACUUUGAUUUUUCAUUGUAUAUAUACUGCAUUCUCAUAUGCAGAUUGCAUUGGUCAAGAUUCAAUGUUUGUCUGAUAGUUGUGUUGUAAGAAUCCCUGUAUGAGGGAUCAAGUAGUACAUUGUAGAUCAAUUAAACUACCAUCAACUUUUCUUAUGAACAAUAUCAAUUUCUGACUACAAACUGUGCAAAUGAGUCCGUUGAUGCUCAGAAAGUGUUUGUUAUAGUUGGUUCCAUGUAUCUAAGCUCUGCACUUGAGAAGAUGAGUGAUGCUCUCCGCAAUAGUAGACAUUUAAGUUAUAUACUGUUCCAAUUACCUUUGACAGGGUGAGUGUUAAUGCCAACGAUGCACAACAUGGAAGCAAAUUGCUCACUAUCCCAGUGUUAGUUGAUAGAGAAACAAAAGUCAGACCUGUACUACCUGGAAGGGAGGGCUCUGAUUCUAACGGUUUACCGAACGAGACCAAACUAGUUGGGGAUCCACAGGUGUGUGACAAAGAAGUAAUAGAAAGGCAACCUGUAGUAGGAAGUGAGCAGAGAAAAAAUCUUAAAGAUCUCAGGUGAGGCCUCACGGUUUUAGCUUUCUUUAUGACAAUUAGUGUUGGAUGUCAGUUUGGUUUGACAUAGAGACCUUUAAAGGUGGCAGAGAGAGCUCUGUUUUUAUGGAACAACGAUCACAUUGAGAACUUGAUCAAACAAAAUCGUAAUACUGCCCAUUAUGUUAGAGAAGGCAAUGUCCAAAGAUUUAGUUUAAGGUGAUAUGUUGGAUUGAUGUAAAAUAGCCUUGUUGAGGCAUGAUUGAUAUGUUUAUAUAGACCUGGGCUUUGAUGCCUUGCUGGAACUAUUUAGUUGCUGAUAUUCAUUCUUGUAGCAUCAUAUGAAGCUAGCAAAGUAUAAACAGAAUUACAUGUAUACAUUGUCAUCUUCUGUAGAUGUGUCUUAAUUUCUAGCAAUAUUAGUGGCAACUCCUUAUAAUGUUUAUUAAUUUGAUUCCAUGUUAAA